GCCGAAGUGGUGGAACUGGUAGACACGCUGUGUUCAGGGCGCAGUGCCCGUGAGGGUGUGUGGGUUCAAAUCCCACCUUCGGCA
rnacentral:tRNA from 1 species